rnacentral:lncRNA from 1 species
AUUCAGUGUUGACAGUUAUCUGCAUGCUCUUUACAGAGCCACUAAAGUGAGCCUGCCACAGGACACACAAGGCCUUUUGUCUGGGGCUCUUGUGUGGAUCUCACACAGAGCAUGAUAUCCAGGGAAGUGUAAGUGUGAUCUGGGUAACAAGGGCAUGACCUGAGGCCGAGGUUUGCUUCUGUUGAGGCACUGAGGUGACAGUGUGUUCUUUUUCUCCCUAGGACUGGCCCCUGGGAUUUGCUGCUCAGGACCCGAGUUCACUGAGACAUCAGGAGCAAGCACUGGAGGCCCGGUGCUGCUGGACCCAGAUGGGAGCCAUGCAGGACUUGACCAUUGCCUGCACACACUUCUUCCCAGGAGAAAGGGAAUGAGCAAGAACUAGAUCCUAAGAGCAGAAGACAAUCAUAUGUCCUGAGAACCCAUUGGAGGUUGAACGCUGCUGGGUGGAUGGAGAAAGGCAGAAAUGCAGAAUUUCGUCAUUGCCUGGAUGCUGACUUUAUCCAAAGAGAAGAUGCAUGAGGAGUGUACAUGCCUCAGAACUGGAUGCUGAGACAUGCCCCCGCGAUCCCAAGACCACCAGGUACCGUGAGCAAUCACUGGAGCUGGAACACUGCUGCCUGAAGAAGAAAAGAAGUGCAGGCUUGUCAUUGUCUAUGCUGUUACUUGUGGUUCCCAGGUCUUCAGAGAGGAUGCACAAAGACGGGAGAACUGGCCCCUGGGAUUUGCUGCUCAGGACCCGAGUUCACUGAGACAUGAGGAGCAAGCACUGGAGACCGGGUGCUGCUGGACCCUGAUGGGAGCCAUGCGGGACUUGACCAUGGCCUGCACACACUUCUUCCCAGGAGAAGGGGAAUGAGGAAGGUGGGGGCCUCAAGGCUUUUUUUCCUCUUCUUUUUGCCUUGCUAAGUUUUUAUAUUCCUCUUUAUCCAUUUGAUUAUUUUGUACAAAAAUCAGGUACAGCCUCCUUACAUAUGGCAUUGAUAUAAAGUGUAAAACAGAAGCUAAAUUCUAGGAGUACAGCUUUCAUGAUUCUGACACAGACUAGGAAGGCUAGAACUGCAUAGUUAGUGGACACUGCCUGUGUAUUGACAUUUUUUUCAGACUGAAGGCCAGGACAGAGAGCUGCAGUCAGUAUACUUUCCCUGCUCUGGGGCAACACUGCCAUCAUGGGAAAAUGUUUCCUGUAGACCAGCACAGGCACAGACCCCUCCUCCAUCCUGCAUCUCCUCAGCCAUUUUGAAGCAGGA